AUACGUAGGGGGCUAGCGUUAUCCGGAAUUAUUGGGCGUAAAGGGUUCGUAGGCGGUUAUUUAAGUCAGGUGUGAAAGGCAUAGGCUCAACCUGUGUAAGCACUUGAAACUGAAUGACUUGAGUUAAGGAGAGGAAAGUGGAAUUCCUAGUGUAGCGGUGAAAUGCGUAGAUAUUAGGAGGAACACCAGUUGCGAAGGCGGCUCUCUGGACUGUAACUGACACUGAGGCACGAAAGCGUGGGGAGC
rnacentral:rRNA from 1 species